UUGACCUCCUGAACAAGGUCGGUACUAACAGCUCCAGUCCUCGCACGCCAGUGUAUUCUCCUGAACUCCCCACCCACCUAAUACCCCAACAGACUUUCUCUUUGGGUGUUGUAAUGGAAAUUCUCCCGUGUCACCUCCGAGUGUGGAUAACUCAGCGUUGGAGCGGGGUGCCCCUUAGCACCAGUAUCUGCAGGGUUCCAGAAGUGUAUUUUCAGUUAGUGGGCGAUGUUUUCUCUUUUGCUGUCCAAGUAGUGACUUGGGUGGGACAGUAACAGACUUGGUUGUCAUGUGGGAUUACUGUCUGCUGGAAGAUGCUAAGAGCAUUAAUAGGACCUCAGAGGGCUUACCAGACCACCUCUGGGGGGAUCCCAGUCUUGGAUAUAGUAAGAAGUUGGACGGCACCGUGGUCAGCAUCUGGUCCACCUGCCACCCCUGCUCAGAAGCUGAGGGGUCACUGGUGAGGUCCAGUGACUGCCUUCCCAGGUGGCAACAGCAGAGCGGGGCCCACAGUGCUGGCUUCUUACUCCCGGUCCUCGCUUGCUCCUGUAUCCCAGGCGUGUCCCUCUGGGAUAAAUGCUGUCUAGAAGAAUGUGCUGGCCGGGCAGAUGGCCCACAGUCUUUCAGCCACGCGACUGGCAUCCCUCUCAAGCAGAUUCCUGUGCAUGCUGUCAAAAAGCCAGGGACGCUGGGCCAUGUUGGGAGGCUAUUUUAUGCCCAGGAAAGGAAUUCCUUGGACAGGCCAGCAGCUUUUCACAGACAACCCUCCCUUUGUGACUCAGGUGGGCCUGGGGUGGGGCACCUACUGCAGGCUCGCUAAUGCGUUUGAGGAGUAUCACCGAGCACCAGGUCCUGUGCUAAGCAUUAGCAUUUAAUUUCCUAACAGCACAGAGAUGGGACCAUUAAGUGUCCAGAGGAAACCGAAACUUCAUACAGCUGGCAGAGUCUGCCUUCCACGUGUAUUUUACAGGGCAGCACGUGGGUGAAGCAUGGAAGAGCAAACAUCCGCCUCCGACGGGCCUUGGAAGAGGACUGCACACACCUCCCGAUCUGUGCAGGGCACAAGGGGUCAGAGAGAGGAGGAGGGCUCCAGAGAGGCAGAGCCUCUGAGACAGUGAGGACAGCAGGCACCUUGGACGCAGAGGUCCAGAUGCAGCUCCUUACUCCCUGCGUGCUCACUGCCCAUCAACGUGGGGUUGCUGAGGAUUCAAGAAACAAGAUUCUUCAGCUCUGUUAGGAAACAAACGGUAACACCAGCUACCAUUUAUUGAAACCUCCAAGGCCAGUUACAGUGCCACCUAUACUACCGCCACUGCUCCUGACAGCUCCACCAGACUAGUGCCUCCCCCCAGGAGCGCCCGG